rnacentral:rRNA from 1 species
GAUGAACGCUGGCGGCGUGCUUAACACAUGCAAGUCGAACGGACGAUGAAGAGCUUGCUCUUCAGAGUUAGUGGCGGACGGGUGAGUAACGCGUGGGUAACCUGCCUCAUACAGGGGGAUAGCAGCUGGAAACGGCUGAUAAAACCGCAUAAGCGCACAGCAUCGCAUGAUGCAGUGUGAAAAACUCCGGUGGUAUGAGAUGGACCCGCGUCUGAUUAGCUUGUUGGUGAGGUAACGGCCCACCAAGGCGACGAUCAGUAGCCGGCCUGAGAGGGUGACCGGCCACAUUGGGACUGAGACACGGCCCAAACUCCUACGGGAGGCAGCAGUGGGGAAUAUUGCACAAUGGGGGAAACCCUGAUGCAGCGACGCCGCGUGAAGGAAGAAGUAUCUCGGUAUGUAAACUUCUAUCAGCAGGGAAGAUAAUGACGGUACCUGACUAAGAAGCCCCGGCUAACUA